GACGCACGCUGGCGGGAUGCCUUACACAUGCAAGUCGAACGGAGUGGCGAACGGGUGAGUAAUGUAUCGGAACGUGCCCAGUAGCGGGGGAUAACUACGCGAACGCGUAGCUAAUACCGCCUACUAUUGGAGCGGCAGAUAUCGGAUUAGCGCGUGUGUGGGGUAAAGGCUCACCAAGGCGACGAUCCGUAGCUGGUGUGAGAGGACGACCAGCCACACUGGGACUGAGACACGGCCCAGACUCCUACGGGAGGCAGCAGUGGGGAAUUUUGGAAAAUGGGGGAAACCCUGAUCCAGCCAUCCCGCGUGUGCGAUGAAGGCCUUCGGGUUGUAAAGCACUUUUGGCAGGAAAGCGGUACCUGCAGAAUAAGCACCGGCUAACUACGUGCCAGCCGCCGCGGUAAUAC
rnacentral:rRNA from 1 species